UUUCAGAUUCCUAGAGAUGGAUAUGCAAGUUUUCAGUGAAUGCAAAUCAGGUGAGCCCACCCUGGAAGAGGAACUGUUAGUUUUCACUGCCAUCCCUGUCCUGUUAGCAUUACCUACCUUAUCAAGCUGGAGAGGAAAAUGGAAAUAGCCCCAGGUAGGACACUUGUAAUCCUUGAUACUCUGGAGAACUCCUGGCCACCUGUACUACUUUUGGAUCCAGAACAGGUGAAACCUUACUUUUCAAGUCCUCAGAGAUACAUUGGUUUUUAAUAUCUUGUCUUUUGAUUUUUUUCCAUCGCUGCUAUAUGUUGGCAGACGUUGAAUACUCCCCACGUAUUAAUUUACAAUGCCAUCAAUGACUGAAAAUCUGCUUUGCUAUAAAUUCUGUGACCUUUGGCUAUUUUCUUAGUGUCUCUGGGUCUCAGUGUCUGCUAUUAAGAUUCAGGCAUGUCUCACGACUAGUUGAUGAUUUGGGUAAAUUAGAUCUAAGGGUGUAUGAAGGGGAGUAGUGGGAAAAACAGCUGGAAAGGUAGAUUGAGGCUAGAUCAUGGGUGGCCCUGAAUGCCAAAGCAAAGAAUGAGAAAUUCGGUUCAUUGAAAAUGGAGAGUUACUGAGGGUUAGGUAGCAUGAUGUAGAGAGAUUAGUGAGACCAUGCUGCAGGAGGGCUUGGAGGAACAGAGGAAAUAGGCAGGAAAGCCAGGAAGAUGAUAUCUUGGUACAGAUAGACAGGAGCCAGUGGUUGGAAUGAAGAGGUGACAAGAUUGAGAAGAGUACGGCAGUAGGUUUAACAGGACCUGCUGCCUGAUUGAAUGCAAGAUCAAGGGAAAGAGAAGCACCAAAAGGGGUUUUAGAACCUAGGUGAUUGUGAAGAUUAUUGUUCCAUCUACACGUAUUGAGAAGUCAGGAAGAAACGAGGACACGGUGCUUUUUAGUGGUUGUGCCUUCCAUUGAAUACUGCAAUGCCCAGCCCUUUGAUGGGCACACAUUAAUGAUGAUAAUUACUUUGCAGACACUAA